UACGUAGGGUGCGAGCGUUGUCCGGAUUUAUUGGGCGUAAAGAGCUCGUAGGCGGUUGGGCAAGUCACGUGUGAAAUCUCCACGCUCAACGUGGAGGCGCCACGUGAGACUGCCCUGACUCGAGUCCGGUAGGGGAGCGUGGAAUUCCCGGUGUAGCGGUGAAAUGCGCAGAGAUCGGGAGGAACACCCGUAGCGAAGGCGGCGCUCUGGGCCGGUACUGACGCUGAGGAGCGAAAGCGUGGGGAGCAAACAGG
rnacentral:rRNA from 1 species